UUCGCGUGUAGCAGUGAAAUGCGUAGAGAUGUGGAGGAAUACCGAUGGCGAAGGCAGCCCCCUGGGCCAAUACUGACGCUCAUGCACGAAAGCGUGGGGAGCAAACAGGAUUAGAUACCCUGGUAGUCCACGCCCUAAACGAUGUCAACUAGUUGUCGGGUCUUCAUUGACUUGGUAACGUAGCUAACGCGUGAAGUUGACCGCCUGGGGAGUACGGUCGCAAGAUUAAAACUCAAAGGAAUUGACGGGGACCCGCACAAGCGGUGGAUGAUGUGGAUUAAUUCGAUGCAACGCGAAAAACCUUACCUACCCUUGACAUGUAUGGAAUCCUGCUGAGAGGUGGGAGUGCCCGAAAGGGAGCCAUAACACAGGUGCUGCAUGGCUGUCGUCAGCU
rnacentral:rRNA from 1 species